UACGGAGGGUGCAAGCGUUAUCCGGAUUCACUGGGUUUAAAGGGUGCGUAGGUGGGCAGUUAAGUCAGUGGUGAAAUCUCCGGGCUUAACCCGGAAACUGCCAUUGAUACUAUCUGUCUUGAAUGCCGUGGAGGUAAGCGGAAUAUGUCAUGUAGCGGUGAAAUUGCUUAGAUAUGACAUAGAACACCAAUUGCGAAAGGCACUUACUACACGAAAA
rnacentral:rRNA from 1 species